UAUUAGUUAUCUUAAAUAAAAGAUUUAAUUUUUUAAGUUAAAGAUAAUAUUUUAUAUAUUACUAAUAA
rnacentral:tRNA from 1 species